GGAAGGUUCGCAUAGUGGUCGAGUGCACACGCUUGGAGAGCGUGCAACCCGUAAGGGUUCGAGGGUUCGAAUCCCUCACCUUCCG
rnacentral:tRNA from 1 species